rnacentral:tRNA from 1 species
GCCCGGGUGGCGGAACUGGCAUACGCACGGGACUUAAAAUCCCGAGCCCGCAAGGGAUUGAGGGUUCAACUCCCUCCCCGGGCA